CGAGGAUGAGAGCAGCCACGCUGACGAACAGAGAUUAAUUUAGAAAAAACAUUCAAACAAAAAAAAUCACUCAAACAGUUAAAGAAUAAGCUUCACAUUGUCGGGUUCUACCGAAUUGAAGAUUGCGAGUUGUGGGGAUUCUGCAGUCGAGAUUUUGUACCGCAUUGGUAAGAAAUGCCGUUGCUAGUAUUGUAAGUUUUUUUGGAGAGUUUGAGUUCGAGUUGAUCCUGGAUUGGAUUCCACAUUUGAUGGCGAGCUACAACCCAACGGAGAAGAACUUCAAAGAAUUGCAUGCAGAAGAUUGAGAGACUUUGUCCUAUACACACCAGUCCACUCUGCAGUGUGGUAGGGUGUGCAUACCGGUUCUAGGUAUCAAAGAUUUGUGUGUUAGCUACAUUGUUAUUUAGACCAUUGAUAUUGAUGUAUUUUCUUUUCUUUUGUUACCCGGGUAACAUUUAAAAGGGGAAUUAUUUAUAAGGUAUUAUUUGAAAGGGGAUUGUUUGAAAAAGUAACAUUUCAAAGAUAUCGGAAAGAGUAAUAUUAUUGAAUAAAUAAGUUGCGUUAAUAUAUAAAUAAAAUUAGA